CCCCUCCCCCCCCCGUCUCCGCCUCGCUGACGUUCAGCCUCAGCCCAGCACCAUGUCUUACACUAUCCGGGGCCGCAUCUCGCUCCACAGGCCUACGCCCCCCACGCCCGCGCCCACCCUACGCCCAACGCCCGCGCCCCUGUGCGUCCCCAACAUCUUCAAGCUCUUCAAGGGCUACUUGGACAAUGGCAAGCUAGACCCGACGGCGGUGUCCACGCUGCGCCUGCGCCUCCCCUGCCGCAAGGUCUUCCUCCGGUUCCUCGUCUCGAAUAAUCCCAGAGCCUGCCUCCCUUCCCCCUUUGGCACCAUGGACGCCAACGCCACAUCGGACGCCAACAUCACAUCGGACGCCAACGCCACGUCAAUAGGCAGUCCGGAGCUGCAGGUGCUACAGGAUGUUUUCUAUCGCUACGUCAUGCCGGUGCUGAUUAUCACAGGUGUGCUGACCAACGUGAUCAACAUUCUGACGCUCUGGAAGGUCAAUCAACUCCAGAAACAUCAACAGAACCGUCAAGCUCAGACGACCACGUACCGAUACCUCUUCUGGCUGGCGAUUGCGGAUAUGCUGGCCUCCCUUUCCCUUGUGCCCGCGAUCGUGUUUCUUGAAAGGGAAGAACUGCCCUAUGGAUGGGCGUUCUACUACGCCCACUUUGAAACUCCGUUGAUGAACGGGCUAACGAGUGCCAGUGUCUAUAUCGUGGUGGGGCUGUCGGUGGACCGCUACAUCGCCGUGUGCCAUCCCAGGCGCUACGUCGAGAUCAGCGCGCCUCGCUUGGCUGCAAUCAGGAUAGUAUGCUCGUUCCUGGUCCCCGUGGUAUUGUAUUUUCCGCAGGGCUUCUUCCUGGAGGUCGUGUGUGCCGUGUCCGGAGCUGGGUGGACGUACCAGUCUAACCAAACCAACGAGUCGGCAAAAGAGCACUAUGAACUCUUUGUGGAGCUGUGUCAUCGCAUUUUCCCGGCCAUCAUCCUGGCUGUGCUCAAUGGCUGCAUCAUCUACACCUUCCACAAGACGACAGCGAAGCGCAACCAGAUGAGGAGCAAGCCGCUGGUGUCCAUGCAGCCCAGCUCGGCCAGCAAAGGGAGCGAGGACCAAAGCAGACGGCACCAGGAGAAGAGGCUCGUCUACCUCCUGGUGGCUAUCGUCGUGAGUUUCCUGGCGACUACUCUGCCCGCUGCUGUGCUGGCCCUCAGUGACAUAGACGGCCCCACUUACGGUUAUUUUGGCCUUGAAGUGUUUCGCGCGAUAGCCAAUUGCCUGGAGGCCUUCGGGCUGUCCCUGAACUUCGUGCUGUACUUCGUGUUCGUGAGCAGCGUGAGGGAGGUGCUCAAGAAGGCUGUGUGUGGCUUGGCCGCCCACGCGAAGGUUGACAGGGGAUGCUCUCACUCUUCCACUACCAACUCAAAGAACACAGAAUGUGUCGAACUGUAAACUCUAAAUACACUUACAGUAACACGAAAAAAUAUAGCGAGAAGGGAAAUUCAAAACACAACCUUAGUUCGACAUAUUAACGGCUGCGGGAAAAGGAUCAAAUAAGGAUGUCGUUUGUAAUAAAAAUCCAGAAGACAAAUAUUCACGGCAACCGACCAUCGAGCGCGCACUCUAGGUCACCGACGCCUGGUGAUCGAGCUGCCCAGUUGUCCAAGAACACAGGAUGAGAUAGCGAUUUGGGCCGUAGCUUAUAACCACGCGACGAGUAGAGCAAAUCGUAUGUUGAAAAGAAAAUCUUGUUUUUUUUUCCCGUGGUCCAAUCAUAACAAGUUCAAGUGCCAAGUAUAAGAGGCAUUCCAUUGUUUUCUUCUUGUUAUGCUCAAUGAAAAAAAUAAUGUCUAGUCGAUGUUUUAGUGAUAAAUAAUAUUUAACGUCAGAUACGUAAAUAAACAAGUCAAUGGAUAAUAGUACGUCCUUCUUCUAAUGAAUUCAAUAAUAAUCUUCAUAUGUAUAAAUGUGCAUUAGAGAAAGGCUGUGCUUUCAGGCUUAAAAAUUACCUUGAAUAUAUCAUGCUAUAUGUGGUCACAUAAAGGAAUAAAUAUCGAGGCUGGGUAAUAUGUAAAGAAAUGAAUACUACUGCGUAGUAUUAAUCAUAGUCACUAUAAUAAAUAAUAAAUCAUUAUCUCGUAGUAAACAUUUCCGCAAAAUCUGCCCCCAGGGACUGAGCGCAGAGCGCAUGGACAAGCCAAAUGAUAGUGUUUAACAUGCUUAGAGAGUCAGUGUAACAUUUGGUGUUAUUCAUUCAGUGUUCUCUACUCCUGCUUUGCUUUCGUGUAUUUUAAUGUAUAGUGACAUGUACCCUGGACAUAUGCUUUGCGAUCCUGAUUUACAUCUGUGUUCUUUAUGAAAGGACAUGACUCAUAUAUGUCCUUUGUAUAUAUUAUAACUAAUGUGUUCGUAUGUUAAUCGUCUGAAACGUACCGAACGGUGUGAUAAUUCAUAUCAGUGACGUCAUCUGAUUAGUCAUAUCAUACGGAGCCAAAUCGAUCACUGAGAAGUUUGCCUUAUGUGUUAUGUUGUAAAUAAACGUAAACGACAUACA
rnacentral:misc_RNA from 1 species